UACGUAGGGUGCGAGCGUUGUCCGGAAUUAUUGGGCGUAAAGGGCUCGUAGGCGGUCUGUUGCGUCAGGAGUGAAAACUCGGGGCUUAACCCCGAGCCUGCAGUGGGUACGGGCAGACUGGAGUGCGGUAGGGGAGACUGGAAUUCCUGGUGUAGCGGUGAAAUGCGCAGAUAUCGGAAGGAACAUCAGUGGCGAAAGCGACUUCCUGGCCAAUACUGACGCUCAUGUGCGAAAGCGUGGGAGCA
rnacentral:rRNA from 1 species